rnacentral:rRNA from 1 species
AUUGAACGCUGGCGGCAGGCUUAACACAUGCAAGUCGAGCGGAGAGAGGUAGCUUGCUACCGAUCUUAGCGGCGGACGGGUGAGUAAUGCUUAGGAAUCUGCCUAUUAGUGGGGGACAACAUUUCGAAAGGAAUGCUAAUACCGCAUACGUCCUACGGGAGAAAGCAGGGGAUCUUCGGACCUUGCGCUAAUAGAUGAGCCUAAGUCGGAUUAGCUAGUUGGUGGGGUAAAGGCCUACCAAGGCGACGAUCUGUAGCGGGUCUGAGAGGAUGAUCCGCCACACUGGGACUGAGACACGGCCCAGACUCCUACGGGAGGCAGCAGUGGGGAAUAUUGGACAAUGGGCGCAAGCCUGAUCCAGCCAUGCCGCGUGUGUGAAGAAGGCCUUAUGGUUGUAAGGCACUUUAAGCGAGGAGGAGGCUACUUUAGUUAAUACCUAGAGAUAGUGGACGUUACUCGCAGAAUAAGCACCGGCUAACUCUGUGCCAGCAGCCGCUGUAACAC